AUGAUGAGGAGUUCCAUUUCCAGCUACUUUCCACUGACUGCAGUUGUGAUCAUGCUUCUAGUACUGACAGCCACGGAGGCUGAAGGCAUCCGGCUAGACGCAGAGACUCGGGCGUCAGUCAGCAGCAGCGGUGGCAGCAACCCGGUGCUCAAUAAACCAAUCGAUGAUGCGGUCAAGGGUUCCACUGGAUCAGCGAGCGAGCCGACAGGGAGCGCUGAUACUGCAAGCGAAGGUAGGGCAGUGCCUCAUGGGUUGCCGGAGUUCCAGGAAGACUAUUAUGUUCCAAGCGUUCACAGCCCUAGGCACCACUGA
rnacentral:rRNA from 1 species